GUCGUUCAGGAUGAGCAGCAGGACGGAGAUGAAGAGCAGCUUCUCUCCUCGAUGGUCUGCGAUGAAGAGGGAGGCGAGGUCCAGACUGAUGAAGGAUGGGCCUCCUCUUCAAGGUGAACUAGGAACAACAGGUUCAAAGAGAGUAUUGCAGAUCCGAUGGAGAUGCUGCAUCUCUGUGUGUCGAAGGGGAACUUGUGGACGUCCAUCUGACAGAUGCUGACCUCCUUCACGUCCUCUUCAGAAGUGAUCGUCCCGUCGUAGGACACGUACUGUACAUGUACGGACUCUGUCGUCCUUCUGUAUCCUGAGAACACAAACAAACACAAAAUCUUUUCAUGGUUCAUGUUUGUGGAGCCAUUAAACCGCACCGCUAUUUCACA